CUUGGCGUUUGGCACCUCUGCUGCCUUGUGGGCUUUUCUUAUCAAGCAGCAUAAUGAAGAUGUAAUGGAAUAUGAGAGAAGACAAAAAGAGGGACACCAUAAGUGUACAGAAUGCUCAUAGUUGAUGAUGUGCUCAGUGAGAAGUAACAUGAUCACCGGUUGUCCUACAAACAAGUGAGCACAGCAGGAGUACAGUUAUGUAAUUACUUGUAUGUUCAUACAUUUCAUGUGCAUAAAUAUGAAAUAAAUUAUAAAGCCUAGAAGAAACUU